rnacentral:rRNA from 1 species
UAAGGAAUAUUGCGCAAUGGGGGAAACCCUGACGCAGCAACGCCGCGUGGGUGAAGAAGGCCCUCGGGUUGUAAAGCCCUGUCAGGUGGGAAGAAACCUCGAUAGGUGAAUAUCCUAGCGAACUGACGGUACCACCAAAGGAAGCACCGGCUAACUCCGUGCCAGCAGCCGCGGUAAGACGGAGGGUGCAAGCGUUGUUCGGAAUUACUGGGCGUAAAGAGCGUGUAGGCGGUCUGAUAAGUCGAGUGUGAAAGCCCGAGGCUCAACUUCGGAAGUGCACUCGAAACUGUCAGGCUUGAGUACGGGAGAGGGAAGUGGAAUUCCUGGUGUAGAGGUGAAAUUCGUAGAUAUCAGGAGGAACACCGGUGGCGAAGGCGGCUUCCUGGACCGAUACUGACGCUGAGACGCGAAAGCGUGGGGAGCAAACA